AUCGAACGCUGGCGGCAGGCCUAACACAUGCAAGUCGAACGGUAGCACAGAGAGCUUGCUCUCGGGUGACGAGUGGCGGACGGGUGAGUAAUGUCUGGGAAACUGCCCGAUGGAGGGGGAUAACUACUGGAAACGGUAGCUAAUACCGCAUAACGUCGCAAGACCAAAGAGGGGGACCUUAGGGCCUCUUGCCAUCGGAUGUGCCCAGAUGGGAUUAGCUUGUAGGUGAGGUAACGGCUCACCUAGGCGACGAUCCCUAGCUGGUCUGAGAGGAUGACCAGCCACACUGGAACUGAGACACGGUCCAGACUCCUACGGGAGGCAGCAGUGGGGAAUAUUGCACAAUGGGCGCAAGCCUGAUGCAGCCAUGCCGCGUGUAUGAAGAAGGCCUUCGGGUUGUAAAGUACUUUCAGCGGGGAGGAAGGGAGUGAGGUUAAUAACCUUAUUCAUUGACGUUACCCGCAGAAGAAGCACCGGCUAACUCCGUGCCAGCAGCCGCGGUAAUACCGGAUGGUGCAAGCGUUUAUCGUAAUUACUGGGCGUAAGCGCACGCAGGCGGUCUGCUCAGUCGGAUGUGAAAUCCCCGGGCUCAACCUGGGAACUGCAUUCGAAACUGGCAGGCUGGAGUCUUGUAGAGGGGGGUAGAAUUCCAGGUGUAGCGGUGAAAUGCGUAGAGAUCUGGAGGAAUACCGGUGGCGAAGGCGGCCCCCUGGACAAAGACUGACGCUCAGGUGCGAAAGCGUGGGGAGCAAACAGGAUUAGAUACCCUGGUAGUCCACGCUGUAAACGACGUCGACUUGGAGGUUGUUCCCUUGAGGAGUGGCUUCCGGAGCUAACGCGUUAAGUCGACCGCCUGGGGAGUACGGCCGCAAGGUUAAAACUCAAAUGAAUUGACGGGGGCCCGCACAAGCGGUGGAGCAUGUGGUUUAAUUCGAUGCAACGCGAAGAACCUUACCUACUCUUGACAUCCAGAGAACUUAGCAGAGAUGCUUUGGUGCCUUCGGGAACUCUGAGACAGGUGCUGCAUGGCUGUCGUCAGCUCGUGUUGUGAAAUGUUGGGUUAAGUCCCGCAACGAGCGCAACCCUUAUCCUUUGUUGCCAGCGAUUCGGUCGGGAACUCAAAGGAGACUGCCAGUGAUAAACUGGAGGAAGGUGGGGAUGACGUCAAGUCAUCAUGGCCCUUACGAGUAGGGCUACACACGUGCUACAAUGGCAUAUACAAAGAGAAGCGACCUCGCGAGAGCAAGCGGACCUCAUAAAGUAUGUCGUAGUCCGGAUUGGAGUCUGCAACUCGACUCCAUGAAGUCGGAAUCGCUAGUAAUCGUGGAUCAGAAUGCCACGGUGAAUACGUUCCCGGGCCU
rnacentral:rRNA from 1 species